GGUAAGGACCCCUAACGUGGCACACUCCUACUCGACCGAUCCUGAAAUGUCUCUCUCUCUCUCCUUCGUCUCGUUUCUCUUCCGUAUUCCGUAGCUCCGUAGCUCUUUCCCGUGAUUCAUCCUCUGUCGCCGCCGCACAGGAUCCGUUUAAGCUCAUAUUAGGCUCACUUAAUUUUGGAUCAUGGAAAGGUGCAAUCUCAUCAGCAGAAUCGUUAGCACCAGGACCUUCAGCUGAUCCAUCUGAUUACCUCGUCCUGGCAGCUCACAGAACCAAGAGACCUGAUUCUCACGGCCUUUAAGCCUUACAUUGGAGGCUGGAAUAUCACCAACAAUAUAUUGGGCAUAUGUUGGAUUCACAGGUGCUCCUGGUUUCAUCCCAGCUGCUGUCUGGAUCUUGUCUUUUGGCUCUCUUCUUGUUGUACCACUGCUUCAAAUGGAGAGUACGCGAGAAAGCCAAGGGAUCAUCAUACAAUUCAAGAAGAGUCGGCCUCAUUUUACUGAUAGUCUUUACCUCUGCUACUGCGUAAUAAUCUCCAACCUUCCCAUUAGGAUUCAUUCUCUUGUUGUUGUUGUUGUCGUUGUUGUUCCUGAGAUUGAAUUGGCAUCUUAUUUAAAAAAAAAAAAUCAA